rnacentral:rRNA from 1 species
GGGGGGUGCAAGCGUUGUUCGGAAUUAUUGGGCGUAAAGCGCGCGUAGGCGGUUUGUUAAGUCUGUUGUGAAAGCCCUGGGCUCAACCCAGGAAGUGCACUGGAUACUGGCAGACUUGAAUACGGGAGAGGGUAGUGGAAUUCCUGGUGUAGGAGUGAAAUCCGUAGAUAUCAGGAGGAACACCGGUGGCGAAGGCGGCUAUCUGGACCGAUAUUGACGCUGAGACGCGAAAGCGUGGGUAGCAAACAGGAUUAGAUACCCUGGUAGUCCACGCCGUAAACGAUGAGUACUAGGUGUUGCGGGUAUUGACCCCUGCAGUGCCGCAGCUAACGCAUUAAGUACUCCGCCUGGGAAGUACGGUCGCAAGACUA